rnacentral:rRNA from 1 species
UACGUAGGGUGCAAGCGUUGUCCGGAAUUAUUGGGCGUAAAGAGCUCGUAGGCGGUUUGUUGCGUCGGCUGUGAAAUCCCGAGGCUCAACCUCGGGUCUGCAGUCGAUACGAGCAAACUAGAGUGUUGCAGGGGAGACUGGAAUUCCUGGUGUAGCGGUGAAAUGCGCAGAGUAUCAGGAGGAACACCGGUGGCGAAGGCGGGUCUCUGGGGCAACAACUGACGCUGAGGAGCGAAAGCCGUGGGGAGCGAACAGG